GCGGCACUAGCUCAGUUGGUAGAGCGCGACCUUGCCAAGGUCGAGGUCACGAGUUCGAGCCUCGUGUUGUGCCGCUCCA
rnacentral:tRNA from 1 species